UACGAAGGGGGCUAGCGUUGCUCGGAAUCACUGGGCGUAAAGGGUGCGUAGGCGGGUCUUUAAGUCAGGGGUGAAAUCCUGGAGCUCAACUCCAGAACUGCCUUUGAUACUGAAGAUCUUGAGUUCGGGAGAGGUGAGUGGAACUGCGAGUGUAGAGGUGAAAUUCGUAGAUAUCGGGAGGAACACCAGUGGCGAAGGCGGCGACCUGGGCCAAUAUUGACGCUGAGAUGCGAAAGCGUGGGGAGCAAACAGG
rnacentral:rRNA from 1 species